AAUGAACGCUGGCGGCAUGCCUAACACAUGCAAGUCGAACGAGACCUUCGGGUCUAGUGGCGCACGGGUGCGUAACGCGUGGGAACCUGCCCUUAGGUUCGGAAUAACUCUCCGAAAGGGGUGCCAAUACCGGAUAAUGUCUUCGGACCAAAGAUUUAUCGCCUUUGGAUGGUCCCGCGUUGGAUUAGCUAGUUGGUAUGGUAAAAGCCUCCCAAGGCGACGAUCAAUAGCUGGUUUGAGAGAAUGAUCAGCCACACUGAGACUGAGACACGGCCGAGACUCCUACGGGAGGGAGGAGUGGGGAAUAUUGGACAGUGGGCUGAAGCAUGAUCCAGCAAUGCCGCGUGAGUGAUGAAAGUCUUAGGGUUGUAAUGCUCUUUUACCCGGGAUGAUAAUGACAGUACCGGGAGAAUAAGCUCCGGCUAACUCCGUG
rnacentral:rRNA from 1 species